AAAUUGAAGAGUUUGAUCAUGGCUCAGAUUGAACGCUGGCGGCAGGCCUAACACAUGCAAGUCGAACGGUAACAGGAAGCAGCUUGCUGCUUCGCUGACGAGUGGCGGACGGGUGAGU
rnacentral:rRNA from 4 species